GCGUGCGUGAAGAAGGCCUUAGGGUUGUAAAGCGCUUUCGGCGGGGAAGAUGAUGACGGUACCCGCAGAAGAAGCCCCGGCUAACUCCGUGCCAGCAGCCGCGGUAAUACGGAGGGGGCUAGCGUUGUUCGGAAUUACUGGGCGUAAAGGGCGCGUAGGCGGGCAUUCAAGUCAGGGGUGAAAGGCCUGGGCUCAACCCGGGAACUGCCUUUGAAACUGAGUGUCUAGAGGCCGAGAGAGGUUAGCGGAAUUCCCAGUGUAGAGGUGAAAUUCGU
rnacentral:rRNA from 1 species